rnacentral:misc_RNA from 1 species
GAUGAAGAACGUAGUGAAAUGCGAUAAGUAAUGCGAAUUGCAGAAUUCAGUGAAUCAUCGAAUCUUUGAACGCACCUUGCGCCCUUUGGCCAUUCCGAAGGGCAUGCCUGUUUGAGUAUCAUGAACACCUCAACUCUUCAUGGUUUUCUAUGAUGAGCUUGGACUUUGGGGGUCUUGCUGGCCUGUGGGUCGGCUCCUCUCAAAUGAAUCAGCUUGCCGGUUUUUGGUGGGCAUCACAGGUGUGAUAACUAUCUACGCUUGUGGUUUUCCACCAGGGUAACCUUCAGCAGUGGAGGUUCACUGGAGCUUACAAAUGUCUCUCCUCUGUGAGGACAGCCCUUUGAAUGUUUGAUCUCAAAUCAGGUAGGACUACCCGCUGAACUUAAGCAUAUCAAUAAGCGGAGGA